rnacentral:rRNA from 1 species
GAUGAACGCUGGCGGCGUGCCUAAUACAUGCAAGUCGAGCGAACGGACGAGAAGCUUGCUUCUCUGAUGUUAGCGGCGGACGGGUGAGUAACACGUGGAUAACCUACCUAUAAGACUGGGAUAACUUCGGGAAACCGGAGCUAAUACCGGAUAAUAUUUUGAACCGCAUGGUUCAAAAGUGAAAGACGGUCUUGCUGUCACUUAUAGAUGGAUCCGCGCUGCAUUAGCUAGUUGGUAAGGUAACGGCUUACCAAGGCAACGAUGCAUAGCCGACCUGAGAGGGUGAUAGGCCACACUGGAACUGAGACACGAUCCAGACUCCUACGGGAGGCAGCAGUAGGGAAUCUUCCGCAAUGGGCGAAAGCCUGACGGAGCAACGCCGCGUGAGUGAUGAAGGUCUUCGGAUCGUAAAACUCUGUUAUUAGGGAAGAACAUAUGUGUAAGUAACUGUGCACAUCUUGACGGUACCUAAUCAGAAAGCCACGGCUAACUACGUG